rnacentral:rRNA from 1 species
UACGGAGGGUGCAAGCGUUAAUCGGAAUUACUGGGCGUAAAGCGCACGUAGGUGGUUUUCUAAGCCAGCUGUGAAAUCCCCGGGCUCAACCUGGGACUUGCAGUUGGAACUGGAAAGCUAGAGUAGGGUAGAGGGGUGUGGAAUUCCAGGUGUAGCGGUGAAAUGCGUAGAUAUCUGGAGGAACAUCAGUGGCGAAGGCGACACCCUGGACUCAUACUGACACUGGGGUGCGAAAGCGUGGGGAGCAAACAGG